rnacentral:rRNA from 1 species
CGGAUCGGAGUCUGNAACCCGACUCCGUGAAGCUGGAUUCGCUAGUAAUCGCGCAUCAGCCAUGGCGCGGUGAAUACGUUCCCGGGCCUUGUACACACCGCCCGUCAAGCCAUGGGAGCCGGGGGUGCUUGAAGUGCGUCGCCGCAAGGCGCGCCCUAGAGCAAAACCGGUGACUGGGGCUAAGUCGUAACAAGGUAUC